AAUAGAAAACGGACGGUGAGGGGACAAAAAUUGAAGGAUAAAAAGCCGAAGUUUGUGGAGAAAAGUGGCAGAAAUUGAGAGCGAUUUCGGCUGAUUUGGCGAGUUGUUUUGGAGUAAAAAAUUUCAGUUAGUUGCUGCAAAUAAAGUCAGCAGUUGGCUGGAGAAAAACAUAGAAGAAAAGCGCUGAAAAAUAUAUACAAAUUGGCGGCUGAUUACAUGAAUUAAUUUGGAACCGACGUGGAUUGAGGGGGUGGCUUUGGAAGGAAUUUGGAAAUCAUUCAUGUUCCUUCAGUUACUCGGUGAUAGGGCUCUUGAUUAUGGAUUGAAGAGGCUUGACCGUAUACAUAUAGUACAUUGAAAGACAUUGGUCGUAUUCUAGAAUUGUUUAUUAGAUGUCUUUGAGAUCCUCUUUUCUUCAUGGAAGCGGCCUGCGGUCUGUGUCGAAAAUGCUUAGCUUGCAGGGUAGUCUACAUGCGUAUGACCAGAUUAUAUACAUUUUAGUCAGAGGGUAUAUUUUUGUUGAGAUUUUUCAGUAUAUUGUGAUGUCAUGAGAUUAUGUCACUAUGUUAGCACAUGAUUAUAUUAUGACUAUAAGAUGAUAUUUAUCAGUAUUAUGAGAAUGUUUCAUGAUUAUGUGAUGUUACACUAUGAUGAUGGAACUUGAUAUUUGAUAAAUAUGUAUAAAUGAGAAAAUAGAAUUAUUUUUGAAA